rnacentral:rRNA from 1 species
UACAGAGGUGGCUAGCGUUGUUCGGAAUUACUGGGCGUAAAGGGCGCGUAGGCGGCUUGGUCAGUCCCGUGUGAAAUCCCUCGGCUCAACUGAGGAACUGCACGGGAAACUGCCUGGCUUGAGUUCGGGAGAGGGAAGCGGAAUUCCGGGUGUAGCGGUGAAAUGCGUAGAUAUCCGGAGGAACACCAGUGGCGAAGGCGGCUCACUGGCUCGGUACUGACGCUGAGGUGCGAAAGCGUGGGGAGCAAACAGG